rnacentral:rRNA from 1 species
UACAGAGGUUUCAAGCGUUGUUCGGAUUUAUUGGGCGUAAAGGGCGUGUAGGCGGCGCUCUAAGUCGGGUGUGAAAUUUCGGAGCUUAACUCCGAAACUGCAUUCGAUACUGGCGUGCUUGAGGACUGGAGAGGAGACUGGAAUUCAUGGUGUAGCAGUGAAAUGCGUAGAGAUCAUGAGGAAGACCAGUGGCGAAGGCGGGUCUCUGGACAGUUCCUGACACUGAGACACGAAGGCCAGGGGAGCAAACGGG